rnacentral:rRNA from 1 species
AAUCUCGAAAAUAAAAGAUUUAGAAAAUCUAUUUUAGUUUUUGUGUCAAUAAAAUUUUAUAAGAUUUUUUGGGGAUGAAAUAUUAAUCGAUUUUAUUAAUAUCUAGUAACUUCAGAAAUAAAUUUAGUUUAAAUUGUUAAGAAUUUCUUAAUUUUAAUAUAUAUUUAGGUUUUAGGGGAUGAGCUCUAAAACUAAAUUAUAAGAAAAAAUUAAUAUAAUUCUUUUAUUAGGCUUAGGAUUAGCUAUAAGAUAGUGUUUUAAGAUAGAAAUAUAAGUAUAUAAUUUUGUUUUCUUUUUUGAGAAUGAAGUUAUUGAAUAAAUAAAGUUUUUUAGGAAAAUAUGAUAAUAUUAGUAGAAAUAAAUUUAAAUUUUUCUGUUAUUGUUACAAAAAUAAUUAUAAUAAAAGAACUCGGCAAAUAGGAUUUCCGAAUGUUUAACAAAAACAUUUCCUCUUAGAAUAUGAGGUAAGGCCUGCUCACUGAGGAAUUGAAGAGCCGCAGUAUAUUGACUGUGCUAAGGUAGCAUAAUCAUUAGUCUUUUAAUUGGAGGCUGGUAUGAAUGGCUAAACGAGAGAUCUACUUUUUUUAUUAUAAAAAUUGAAUUUAACUUUUUAGUGAAAAGGCUAAAAUUUUUCAGAAAGACGAGAAGACCCUAUAGAGUUUUAUAUAUAAAAAAUUCGUAUUUAAUUAGCUUUUUCUAGAUGUGAAUUUGUAAUAUAAUUUGUUGGGGCGACAUUAAGAUAAGAAAAACUCUUUAUUUUGAAAACUUAAAUAAAAGAAUUGAUUGAGCCUUUAUAAGAGAUCAAAAGAAAAAAUUACCUUAGGGAUAACAGCGUAAUCUUUUUUGAGAGUUCUAAUCGACAAAAAGGUUUGCGACCU